rnacentral:ncRNA from 2 species
UUACAUAUCCUUACUCAAGGUGUCGUCUUCCAAAGGGGAAGGCGGAGAAUUGGGAAGCCGGUCAAAUCCCGGCGCUGCCCCCGCAACGGUGGUGGAGCGAAAGCCUCGGCAAAAGGCCACUGGACGGUUUUCCGUCCGGGAAGGCGCCGGGCUGGUCCUUCGAAGGACGGCUCCUGAGCCCGGAAACCAGCCUUGACAGACAUAACCGU